AAGCACAAGGAAGUUCUGCUUGCAAGUUGCGUCCCAUAGCAAACCAAACUCAAACACAAGGAAGUUCUGCUUGCAAGUCGCGUCCCAUAGCAAACCAAACUCAAACACAAGGAAGUCCUGCUUGCAAGUCGCGUCCCAUAGCAAACCAAACUCAAACACAAGGAAGUCCUGCAUAUAAGGCGCGUCCCAUAGCAAAACAAACUCAAACACAAGGAAGUUCUGCUUGCAAGUCGCGUCCCAUAGCUAACCAAACUCAAACACAAGGA
rnacentral:lncRNA from 1 species